AACGAACGCUGGCGGCGUGGAUAAGACAUGCAAGUCGAACGAAGAAUCUCAAUAGCUUGCUAAUGAGAUUUUUAGUGGCGGACGGGUUAGUAACACGUGAGAUACCUACCCUUUAGACAGGAAUAGCCCAUGGAAACGUGGAAUAAUACCUGAUAGUCUCUACGGAGUAAAUGAUGCCUUUUGGUGUCGCUAAAGGAUGGGCUCGCGGCCUAUCAGUUUGUUGGUGAGGUAAAGGCUCACCAAGACUACGACGGGUAGCUGGUCUGAGAGGACGAUCAGCAACACUGGAACUGAGACACGGUCCAGACACCUACGGGUGGCAGCAGUCGAGAAUCAUUCACAAUGGAGGAAACUCUGAUGGUGCAACGCCGCGUGGAGGAUGACGGCCCUAGGGUUGUAAACUCCUGUCAUUGGGGAGUAAGACUUAUGCGUUAAGAGCGUGUAAGUUUGAUAGUACCCAAAGAGGAAGGGACGGCUAACUUCGUGCCAGCAGCCGCGGUAAUACGAAGGUCCCAAGCGUUGUUCGGAAUAACUGGGCGUAAAGCGUGUGUAGGCUGCGCGGAAAGUCAAAUGUGAAAGCCAAGGGCUCAACCCUUGAACUGCAUUCGAUACUCCCGUGCUAGAGUAAUGGAGAGGUAAGUGGAAUUCCUGGUGUAGCAGUGAAAUGCGUGGAUAUCAGGAGGAACAUCAAUGGCGAAGGCAACUUACUGGACAUUUACUGACGCUCAGACACGAAGGCUAGGGGAGCGAAAGGGAUUAGAUACCCCUGUAGUCCUAGCAGUAAACGGUGCUCGCUUGGU
rnacentral:rRNA from 1 species